rnacentral:rRNA from 1 species
GAUUUCUGGCAUAGCGAUCUGGCCCGCUUCCGAUAGGGGGUGAGUGCUUGUUCGGGUAUGCCAUCCUUCCGGAUAACCAUGGUCUUCCAUUCACUUGGCGGGUUAUGGCGAUCCGGAUCGAUUACUUUGAAAAAAUUAGAGUGCUUAAAGCAGGCUUAUGCCAUGAAUACUUCAGCAUGGAAUAAUAUGAUAGGACUUCUGUACUAUUUUGUUGGUUUGAGUAUAGAAGUAAUGAUUGAUAGGGAUAGUUGGGGGUGCUAGUAUUCCGAGGCCAGAGGUGAAAUUCUUGGAUUCUCGGAAGACUAACUACUGCGAAAGCAUU